rnacentral:rRNA from 1 species
AUGAACGCUGGCGGCGUGCCUAAUACAUGCAAGUCGAGCGAACGGACGAGAAGCUUGCUUCUCUGAUGUUAGCGGCGGACGGGUGAGUAACACGUGGAUAACCUACCUAUAAGACUGGGAUAACUUCGGGAAACCGUAGCUAAUACCGGAUAAUAUUUUGAACCGCCUGGUUCAAAAGUGAAAGACGGUCUUGCUGUCACUUAUAGAUGGAUCCGCGCUGCAUUAGCUAGUUGGUAAGGUAACGGCUUACCAAGGCAACGAUGCAUAGCCGACCUGAGAGGGUGAUCGGCCACACUGGAACUGAGACACGGUCCAGACUCCUACGGGAGGCAGCAGUAGGGAAUCUUCCGCAAAGGGCGAAAGCCUGACGGAGCAACGCCGCGUGAGUGAUGAAGGUCUUCGGAUCGUAAAACUCUGUUAUUAGGGAAGAACAUAUGUGUAAGUAACUGUGCACAUCUUGACGGUACCUAAUCAGAAAGCCACGGCUAACUACGUG